CCUGGCUUAGGAUGAACGCUAGCUACAGGCUUAACACAUGCAAGUCGAGGGGCAGCAUUGGGAUAGCUUGCUAUCCAGAUGGCGACCGGCGCACGGGUGAGUAACGCGUAUCCAACCUUCCCUAUAGUAGAGAAUAGCCCGGCGAAAGUCGGAUUAAUGCUCUAUGUUGUGUUUUGAGGACAUCUGACGAACACCAAAGGUUCACCGCUAUAGGAUGGGGAUGCGUCUGAUUAGCUUGUUGGCGGGGUAACGGCCCACCAAGGCGACGAUCAGUAGGGGUUCUGAGAGGAAGGUCCCCCACAUUGGUACUGAGACACGGACCAAACUCCUACGGGAGGCAGCAGUGAGGAAUAUUGGUCAAUGGGCGAGAGCCUGAACCAGCCAAGUAGCGUGCCAGGACGACUGCCCUAUGGGUUGUAAACUGCUUUUAUCAGGGAAUAAAGUGCGGCACGUGUGCCGUUUUGUAUGUACCUGAUGAAUAAGGACCGGCUAAUUCCGUGCCAGCCGCCGC
rnacentral:rRNA from 1 species